rnacentral:rRNA from 1 species
GCGAGUUUGGCGGCAGCUUACACAUGCAAGUCGAGCGGAGAGAGGUAGCUUGCUACUGAUCUUAGCGGCGGACGGGUGAGUAAUGCUUAGGAAUCUGCCUAUUAGUGGGGGACAACAUUUCGAAAGGAAUGCUAAUACCGCAUACGUCCUACGGGAGAAAGCAGGGGAUCUUCGGACCUUGCGCUAAUAGAUGAGCCUAAGUCGGAUUAGCUAGUUGGUGGGGUAAAGGCCUACCAAGGCGACGAUCUGUAGCGGGUCUGAGAGGAUGAUCCGCCACACUGGGACUGAGACACGGCCCAGACUCCUACGGGAGGCAGCAGUGGGGAAUAUUGGACAAUGGGCGCAAGCCUGAUCCAGCCAUGCCGCGUGUGUGAAGAAGGCCUUAUGGUUGUAAAGCACUUUAAGCGAGGAGGAGGCUACUUUAGUUAAUACCUAGAGAUAGUGGACGUUACUCGCAGAAUAAGCACCGGCUAACUCUGUGCCAGCAGCCGCGGUAAUACAGAGGGUGCAAGCGUUAAUCGGAUUUACUGGGCGUAAAGCGCGCGUAGGCGGCUAAUUAAGUCAAAUGUGAAAUCCCCGAGCUUAACUUGGGAAUUGCAUUCGAUACUGGUUAGCUAGAGUGUGGGAGAGGAUGGUAGAACUCCAUUGUUUAAGCGGGUG